rnacentral:rRNA from 4 species
AAUCCAUAGGUUAAUGAGGCGAACCGGGGGAACUGAAACAUCUAAGUACCCCGAGGAAAAGAAAUCAACCGAGAUUCCCCCAGUAGCGGCGAGCGAACGGGGAGGAGCCCAGAGCCUGAAUCAGCAUGUGUGUUAGUGGAAGCGUCUGGAAAGGCGCGCGAUACAGGGUGACAGCCCCGUACACAAAAGCGCAUGUGCUGUGAGCUCGAUGAGUAGGGCGGGACACGUGGUAUCCUGUCUGAAUAUGGGGGGACCAUCCUCCAAGGCUAAAUACUCCUGACUGACCGAUAGUGAACCAGUACCGUGAGGGAAAGGCGAAAAGAACCCCGGCGAGGGGAGUGAAAAAGAACCUGAAACCGUGUACGUACAAGCAGUGGGAGCACCCUUUGGGUGUGACUG